AUUGAACGCUGGCGGCAGGCCUAACACAUGCAAGUCGAGCGGCAGCGGGAAAGUAGCUUGCUACUUUUGCCGGCGAGCGGCGGACGGGUGAGUAAUGCCUGGGAAAUUGCCCAGUCGAGGGGGAUAACAGUUGGAAACGACUGCUAAUUCCGCAUACGCCCUACGGGGGAAAGCAGGGGACCUUCGGGCCUUGCGCGAUUGGAUAUGCCCAGGUGGGAUUAACUAGUUGGUGGGGUAAUGGCUCACCAAGGCGACGAUCCGUAGCUGGUCUGAGAGGAUGAUGAGCCACACUGGCACUGAGACACGGUCCAGACUCCUACGGGAGGCAGCAGUGGGGAAUAUUGCAAAAUGGGGGAGACCCUGAUGCAGCGAUGCCGCGUGUGUGAAGAAGGCCUUCGGGUUGUAAAGCACUUUCAGCGAGGAGGAAAGGUUGGUAGCUAAUAACUGCCAGCUGUGACGUUACUCGCAGAAGAAGCACCGGCUAACUCCGUGCCAGCCGCCGCAGUAAGAC
rnacentral:rRNA from 1 species